rnacentral:rRNA from 1 species
GGGUUGUGAGGUUAAGCGACUAAGCGUACACGGUGGAUGCCCUGGCAGUCAGAGGCGAUGAAGGACGUGCUAAUCUGCGAUAAGCGUCGGUGAGGUGAUAUGAACCGUUAUAACCGGCGAUUUCCGAAUGGGGAAACCCAGUGUGUUUCGACACACUAUCAUUAACUGAAUCCAUAGGUUAAUGAGGCGAACCGGGGGAACUGAAACAUCUAAGUACCCCGAGGAAAAGAAAUCAACCGAGAUUCCCCCAGUAGCGGCGAGCGAACGGGGAGGAGCCCAGAGCCUGAAUCAGUGUGUGUGUUAGUGGAAGCGUCUGGAAAGGCGCGCGAUACAGGGUGACAGCCCCGUACACAAAAAUGCACAUACUGUGAGCUCGAUGAGUAGGGCGGGACACGUGGUAUCCUGUCUGAAUAUGGGGGGACCAUCCUCCAAGGCUAAAUACUCCUGACUGACCGAUAGUGAACCAGUACCGUGAGGGAAAGGCGAAAAGAACCCCGGCGAGGGGAGUGAAAAAGAACCUGAAACCGUGUACGUACAAGCAGUGGGAGCCUCUUAAUGGGGUGACUGCGUACCUUUUGUAUAAUGGGUCAGCGACUUAUAUUCUGUAGCAAGGUUAACCGAAUAGGGGAGCCGAAGGGAAACCGAGUCUUAACUGGGCGUUAAGUUGCAGGGUAUAGACCCGAAACCCGGUGAUCUAGCCAUGGGCAGGUUGAAGGUUGGGUAACACUAACUGGAGGACCGAACCGACUAAUGUUGAAAAAUUAGCGGAUGACUUGUGGCUGGGGGUGAAAGGCCAAUCAAACCGGGAGAUAGCUGGUUCUCCCCGAAAGCUAUUUAGGUAGCGCCUCGUGAAUUCAUCUCCGGGGGUAGAGCACUGUUUCGGCAAGGGGGUCAUCCCGACUUACCAACCCGAUGCAAACUGCGAAUACCGGAGAAUGUUAUCACGGGAGACACACGGCGGGUGCUAACGUCCGUCGUGAAGAGGGAAACAACCCAGACCGCCAGCUAAGGUCCCAAAGUCAUGGUUAAGUGGGAAACGAUGUGGGAAGGCCCAGACAGCCAGGAUGUUGGCUUAGAAGCAGCCAUCAUUUAAAGAAAGCGUAAUAGCUCACUGGUCGAGUCGGCCUGCGCGGAAGAUGUAACGGGGCUAAACCAUGCACCGAAGCUGCGGCAGCGACACUAUGUGUUGUUGGGUAGGGGAGCGUUCUGUAAGCCUGUGAAGGUGUACUGUGAGGUAUGCUGGAGGUAUCAGAAGUGCGAAUGCUGACAUAAGUAACGAUAAAGCGGGUGAAAAGCCCGCUCGCCGGAAGACCAAGGGUUCCUGUCCAACGUUAAUCGGGGCAGGGUGAGUCGACCCCUAAGGCGAGGCCGAAAGGCGUAGUCGAUGGGAAACAGGUUAAUAUUCCUGUACUUGGUGUUACUGCGAAGGGGGGACGGAGAAGGCUAUGUUGGCCGGGCGACGGUUGUCCCGGUUUAAGCGUGUAGGCUGGUUUUCCAGGCAAAUCCGGAAAAUCAAGGCUGAGGCGUGAUGACGAGGCACUACGGUGCUGAAGCAACAAAUGCCCUGCUUCCAGGAAAAGCCUCUAAGCAUCAGGUAACAUCAAAUCGUACCCCAAACCGACACAGGUGGUCAGGUAGAGAAUACCAAGGCGCUUGAGAGAACUCGGGUGAAGGAACUAGGCAAAAUGGUGCCGUAACUUCGGGAGAAGGCACGCUGAUAUGUAGGUGAAGCGACUUGCUCGUGGAGCUGAAAUCAGUCGAAGAUACCAGCUGGCUGCAACUGUUUAUUAAAAACACAGCACUGUGCAAACACGAAAGUGGACGUAUACGGUGUGACGCCUGCCCGGUGCCGGAAGGUUAAUUGAUGGGGUUAGCGGUAACGCGAAGCUCUUGAUCGAAGCCCCGGUAAACGGCGGCCGUAACUAUAACGGUCCUAAGGUAGCGAAAUUCCUUGUCGGGUAAGUUCCGACCUGCACGAAUGGCGUAAUGAUGGCCAGGCUGUCUCCACCCGAGACUCAGUGAAAUUGAACUCGCUGUGAAGAUGCAGUGUACCCGCGGCAAGACGGAAAGACCCCGUGAACCUUUACUAUAGCUUGACACUGAACAUUGAGCCUUGAUGUGUAGGAUAGGUGGGAGGCUUUGAAGUGUGGACGCCAGUCUGCAUGGAGCCGACCUUGAAAUACCACCCUUUAAUGUUUGAUGUUCUAACGUGGGCCCGUAAUCCGGGUUGCGGACAGUGUCUGGUGGGUAGUUUGACUGGGGCGGUCUCCUCCUAAAGAGUAACGGAGGAGCACGAAGGUUGGCUAAUCCUGGUCGGACAUCAGGAGGUUAGUGCAAUGGCAUAAGCCAGCUUGACUGCGAGCGUGACGGCGCGAGCAGGUGCGAAAGCAGGUCAUAGUGAUCCGGUGGUUCUGAAUGGAAGGGCCAUCGCUCAACGGAUAAAAGGUACUCCGGGGAUAACAGGCUGAUACCGCCCAAGAGUUCAUAUCGACGGCGGUGUUUGGCACCUCGAUGUCGGCUCAUCACAUCCUGGGGCUGAAGUAGGUCCCAAGGGUAUGGCUGUUCGCCAUUUAAAGUGGUACGCGAGCUGGGUUUAGAACGUCGUGAGACAGUUCGGUCCCUAUCUGCCGUGGGCGCUGGAGAACUGAGGGGGGCUGCUCCUAGUACGAGAGGACCGGAGUGGACGCAUCACUGGUGUUCGGGUUGUCAUGCCAAUGGCACUGCCCGGUAGCUAAAUGCGGAAGAGAUAAGUGCUGAAAGCAUCUAAGCACGAAACUUGCCCCGAGAUGAGUUCUCCCUGACUCCUUGAGAGUCCUGAAGGAACGUUGAAGACGACGACGUUGAUAGGCCGGGUGUGUAAGCGCAGCGAUGCGUUGAGCUAACCGGUACUAAUGAACCGUGAGGCUUAACCUUACAACGCCGAAG